AUUUAUUUAAUAUAUUAAGUAUAUUUGAUUUCCAAUCAAAAAGUCUAAGGCUUUUAGAAUAAAUA
rnacentral:tRNA from 1 species